rnacentral:rRNA from 1 species
AGUGAACGCUGGCGGCAGGCCUAACACAUGCAAGUCGAACGGCAGCACAGUAAGAGCUUGCUCUUACGGGUGGCGAGUGGCGGACGGGUGAGGUAUACAUCGGACUCUUCUUUUUCGUGGGGGAUAACGUAGGGAAACUUACGCUAAUACCGCAUACGACCUACGGGUGAAAGCAGGGGAUCUUCGGACCUUGCGCGAUUGAAUGAGCCGAUGUCGGAUUAGCUAGUUGGCGGGGUAAAGGCCCACCAAGGCGACGAUGCGUAGCCGGGCUGAGAGGGUGAACAGCCCCACUGGGACUGAGACACGGGCCAGGGUCCUAAGGGAGGGAGCCAUGGGGAAUGUUGGGCCAAGGGGGGAAGACUGAACCAAGCAAGCCGGGGUGGGUAAGAAAGGCUUCGGGUUGGAAAAGCCGUUUUUUGGGGAAAAAAAAGCGGCGGAUUAAAACCCCGCGUGUUGAAGGGAACCAAAGAAAAAGGCACGGCUUACCUCGGG